rnacentral:other from 1 species
GUAAAACUGCAACGUUGGUGACUGCCAAUAAAGUUUGUUGAUCUAUGUUUGUUUUAUAAGGGAAACAAGAGCGUCUGUGGUAGUAGACCGAGCAUUAGCACUCGGAAACAGAAACAAGGUGCCUAAGAGUUACCCACCUGGUUUUUCCAGGUCAUAAACUGAGGUAAAACGGCGUUGCGGUUUGCUU